rnacentral:tRNA from 1 species
GGGGAUGUAGCUCAGUGGGAGAGCACAUGACUGAAGAUCAUGGUGUCGGGUGUUCGAUUCACCCCAUCCCCA